CCAGCCCUGCGAAUGGGCACCAACCCCCUCUAAGAGAAUGCCCUGGGCCAUGGGAUGAAACCCAGCACCUCAGGACAACAUGCAGUCCUCACAGUUUUAUAAGGCAGAAUUGUCCAGAGAAUCAGAAUCGAAAGGAAGGUACUAAUGAGCAGUGAAGAUAUAGCAAGAAAAACAAGAAGCCUUAAUAAGUUCAACUUUUGAACCUGGAAGUAUUACAUCAGAGCCAAACAGUUGACUUUCCAGCCAGAAGAUGGUGAAGAUCUACAUCAUAAUUGAAAGAUUGCUCAUUCCAACCCAACUACGCCAUCACUAAUGUCUGUGUGGAUUUUGCCUAACAUAAACUUAUUGUUCUGAGACUACUAUGAAUUUUAAGAAAAGCCCCUACUGCAAUUCAAUUUAUUUUCAAAGACCUAUCAAGGAGUUCACUAUUCACCCUCAAUAUUUGCAAAAUUAGUGUGCAGUGUCAGCCUGCUUCACUCUGGAAAAGUUGAAUACUUUUCCAAGAACAAAAUGACUUCAUGGUUUGUUCUGAACUACAAAAUUGAAAGAUUAAAUGAUACAAGCGUAUUUAAAGCAGGUUAUGUAUAUACUAUUUUCUCAGUCAUGUUUUAAAGGCUUAAAAUGUCCCCAGUAAAGCUUCAGUGAGCUAUGCACGAAAUAAUACAUGCAACUGCCAACCAGAUUCCUAACUUGUGGUCCACAAAAGAAAUGUACAAGUUUCUGUGUCAGACAAAAGAGGCCAGACUCAGGGCAGCAAUACCAGGUGGGUCCUCACUCACACAUACUCAGGGAAAGAUCUCUUCCUAAGUGACACUUUAAUGAAUCUCUUCAUAAAUAUAAUAACUCCUAAAGUUUCUAGAGCACACUUUUCAUUAAUGUCACUAAUUAUGUAAUGAAAUGCCAUCUAACGUUUAGAAUUUUGUGACAUUUCAUGUAAAGAAAUUUACAAAUCUGAAAAAUUUUUACCAAACUAUGAGUCUCAAUUUGGAUUCCUAAAAAGAUGGUCAACAUUCUUAUAAAAGGUCCCUGGACCUCGUGGGAUGGGAUCCCUGAUCAACUAGAGACGCUGCAGAGAGGACCAGCCUGGCUCCACCCUGUUAAAAUCCCUAUGUAACAUUUAGAGCGUGAGCUGCUCAGAGCAAGGAUAACAACUUGCCAUUUCUGUUUUUAAAAUGUUG
rnacentral:lncRNA from 10 species